GUUAUAACUAUUUUAGUGUCCAAAUCAAAUAUUAAAAUCAAAGAGAACAAUAAAGUUUUCUUCCAUCAUAAUGUCUAAGCUAUAUUUCAUUAUGCGUUCCAAUGUAAAGUUUUUCAUUUUAAUUGUGGUGCUGGUAAAUCAUCCAUAAAACAACAUUGCCUGCAGUAAAUUCACUGAUUUACUUCUCAGUACCUUUUAUCAUUCUAAUUCCAGCACAGGGAGAUGAACUACAGCAACUUAAUAUCAGAACAAACUCAACACAAAAGCAGGUGGAGGUUCUGAAGAGAGAAGGAGAAGUGAAACAAGUGGCUUUCUCAGCCUCCUUAAUGGCCUCAGGUGGAGGGGACAUUGGACCUUUCAAUGCAUACACGUCUUUGAUCUUCAGAAAUGUGGUCUCAAAUGUUGGGAAUGCCUACAACCCAAACACAGGGUUUUUCACUGCUCCAGUGAGAGGUGUCUACCACUUUAAUUACCACAUCUAUGGACAUGGACAUCCUUCACAUGGUUCAGGUGCUGUGCUGGUCAAGAAUGGAGAGUACAUUUUUAUGGCAUAUGAACAUCAGACUACACUCGGCGCUAACUCUGCUAACACUGUCACGUUCCUGUUAGAAGGUGGAGACGUUGUAUAUUUGCUUCAAAGGGCUCAUACAAGGAUUUUUGAUGAUCAGUUGCAUUAUACCACGUUCAGUGGUCUUCUACUUUUUCCUUUGUGCAAUGAUGCAUGCUAAGUGAUUUGUAGUAGGGUUAUAGUGCAGUGUGAAAUGUACACAAAAGAUAAACAUACUGCUCAGAAGACAAAAUGGCACAAAUAAAAUAUAAAUUUACUUCGCAAAGGGGGCAGUGGUAUUAAGAUUAAAUUACCAUAAGGUAUUUUUUGCAGAUAACUUUUAUAUCAUCAGAAUGACAAAAUAUUAAUCUUAAACCAUAUACACCAAAGUAUAAUUCACACUAUAACAGUGGGAUUUUUGUACUGUUUACUGUAUGUAUGACUUGAUUUGAUUUGAUUUGAUUGAAUUUGAAAUAAACUGCAU